ACCUAUAAGACUGGGAUAACUUCGGGAAACCGGCAGCUAAUACCGGAUAAUAUAUUGAACCGCAUGGUUCAAUAGUGAAAGACGGUUUUGCUGUCACUUAUAGAUGGAUCCGCGCCGCAUUAGCUAGUUGGUAAGGUAACGGCUUACCAAGGCAACGAUGCGUAGCCGACCUGAGAGGGUGAUCGGCCACACUGGAACUGAGACACGGUCCAGACUCCUACGGGAGGCAGCAGUAGGGAAUCUUCCGCAAUGGGCGAAAGCCUGACGGAGCAACGCCGCGUGAGUGAUGAAGGUCUUCGGAUCGUAAAACUCUGUUAUUAGGGAAGAACAAAUGUGUAAGUAACUAUGCACGUCUUGACGGUACCUAAUCAGAAAGCCACGGCUAACUACGUGCCAGCAGCCGCGGUAAUACGUAGGUGGCAAGCGUUAUCCGGAAUUAUUGGGCGUAAAGCGCGCGUAGGCGGUUUUUUAAGUCUGAUGUGAAAGCCCACGGCUCAACCGUGGAGGGUCAUUGGAAACUGGAAAACUUGAGUGCAGAAGAGGAAAGUGGAAUUCCAUGUGUAGCGGUGAAAUGCGCAGA
rnacentral:rRNA from 1 species